CCGGGACGCCCCCCCCCGGGACCCCCGGACCUGCCGCCGCCGCCGCGAUUCAAACCGCCCGCCGCGCCGAGCUCCUCCUGACGUCACUUCCGCCCGCCUCCCUUCCGCCCCACUAACAGGGGCCCCGCGCGGCCGCUCUGCACCGACCGGAGGCCGCGACUCGAUGGUGCCGGAGGACUGGCGGGGAAGGGGCGGAACCGCCGCUGGGGGCGCAGCCUCAGGGGGCAACUGCCCCGAAACAGCAGCCGGCCCCGGCCCCCCGCGGCCACCUCUGCCACCAGAACGGACCAGUCGGCACCAGUACGGCCACCGCCCACCCACUACGGCCGCUGGCGUCCGCUGUGCACCGCCCUGUCCCAGUAAGAACCACUGCACACCAGUGUGCUCCAGUCUGCAGCACUUAGAAGCAGUAAGCACCAGUACGCACCAGUAAGAAUCACUGUGCACCAGUAAGAACCAGUGUGCACCAUUUAAAGCAGUAUUCACCAGUAAGAGCCAGUAUACACCAGUGAGAAUCAAUAGGAAACAAAAAGAAGCAGUAUGCACCAGUAAGAAUCGGCGUGCACCAGUAAGAAUCGGCGUGCACCAGUAUGAAUCGGCGUGCACCAUUUAGAAGCAGUACGCACCAGUGAGAAUCAAUAGGAAACAAAAAGAACCAGUAUGCACCAGUAAGAAUCGGCGUGCACCAGUAAGAAUCGGCGUACACCAUUUAGAAGCAGUAUGCACCAGUAAGAACCAGUAUGCAGCGGUAAGAAUCAGCAUGCACCACUCAGAAGCAGUAUGCACCAGUAAGAACCAGUGCACACCAGUAAGAAGCAGCAUGCACCAGUGAGAACCAGUACACACCAGUGAAAAUCAAUAGGAAACAAAAAGAACCAGUAUGAACCAGUAAGAAUUAGUAAGCACCAGUCAGCACCACUUCAAAGCAAUAAUCACAGAAUCGUCAAGGUUGGAGGGGACCUUAAAGAUGGUCCAGCCCAACCAUCAACUCUGACAAAAAUAAAUAAGAAAUAAGCAACA
rnacentral:lncRNA from 1 species